rnacentral:rRNA from 1 species
GGGCCCGCACAAGCGGUGGAGUAUGUGGUUUAAUUCGAUGCAACGCGAAGAACCUUACCAGGGUUUGACAUCCUGCGAAUCUCCUGGAAACGGGAGAGUGCCUUCGGGAACGCAGUGACAGGUGGUGCAUGGCUGUCGUCAGCUCGUGUCGUGAGAUGUUGGGUUAAGUCCCGCAACGAGCGCAACCCACGUCUUUAGUUGCCAGCAUUCAGUUGGGCACUCUAGAGAGACCGCCGGUGAUAAACCGGAGGAAGGUGUGGAUGACGUCAAGUCAUCAUGCCCCUUACAUCCUGGGCUACACACGUACUACAAUGCUACGGACAAAGAGCAGCAAGUUCGCGAGGACAAGCAAAUCUCAUAAACCGUGGCUCAGUUCAGAUCGUAGGCUGCAACUCGCCUACGUGAAGGAGGAAUCGCUAGUAA